GGAAGAGUGUGAAUUAGCUGGCCCUGGAGCACCUGAGACACACAAGCUGUCUGCUCUUGCUCAGCUUUCUGUAAAAACAGGAAAACUGCAUCGUGGAAAGGUGCUUGCUGGAGUCAAGAAGCUAUAGCACAUUCCAGUGUUGCCUUGACAGAGAAGAGGAUCAUGAUGAGGGAGAAUUUUGCAUGACUUGACAUGUGCCUACUUGAGUUUCUAAGUGAAGUGUCCAUUAAGACUGUGCCCAAGAUUGGUCAAAAGAGGUCAUCAGACAUAAGAAGUCCACUAGGAAGCCAAUCAGAUCAGCCUAUGAGGAGCAGGCUGAAAAUCUAUCAGUGGCCUGUGUGUGGUACCAGUGACUAGAUCUGAAUUAUCAAGAUAGAAGGUCACCAUCCCAAGAGACAGGACUGCUCAAAAAGCCCUGGAAUAGUCCUGAUUCUUGUCAGACUGUGGAAAAGUGCUAAGAACAUAAAUUGGUGAGUACGUUUGAUAAGCUGAAGCAAAGUGGACGGGUCCUGCAGCUAUAAUUUCUUCUCCCUUACAAGUCCGUCAGUCAAGUAGAUUACUAGGAAACUAGGUUUCUAUGGAAUAGAAGCAGGGAAAGAGAGAGAAGGGAAGAUACACCCAAUAAUGCCUCUUUCAGGUGUAUUUCUAUUAGUAUCCUCUUUCUAAAAUUAUUGACACAUCAAAUCUAAUGACCAAGUUGGAUGCUUUCAGGCAAAAAGGUAUCAAAUGCCUAAAAUGUCAUUAUUUUACUUCUGAGAAGCCACUAUUUCUUUUAUUCUCAUACACUUGCUUAUCUUGAAGUGGUGAACCACAUAAAUACAUUUUGAUAUUUGAUCUUUUAAAACUAGACACUUAGCAAUAUAUCCUUUUUAAAAAAAAAAUUUAUUUAUUAUUAUUAUACUUUAAGUUCUAGGGUACAUGUGCAUAACGUGCAAGUUUGUUACAUAUGUAUUCUUGUGCCAUGUUGGUGUGCUGCACCCAUCAACUCUUUAAUAUAACAUUUUUUUUUCUAAUAGCUUCUUUCAAGGUCUUUUUCUUUAAAUUAAGAAAAACAUAAACUAUCAUAUGUAUCCCUUCCUG
rnacentral:lncRNA from 1 species